rnacentral:rRNA from 1 species
GACGAACGCUGGCGGCGUGCUUAACACAUGCAAGUCGAACGGAAAGGCCCUGCUUUUGUGGGGUGCUCGAGUGGCGAACGGGUGAGUAACACGUGAGUAACCUGCCCUUGACUUUGGGAUAACUUCAGGAAACUGGGGCUAAUACCGGAUAGGAGCUCCUGCUGCAUGGUGGGGGUUGGAAAGUUUCGGCGGUUGGGGAUGGACUCGCGGCUUAUCAGCUUGUUGGUGGGGUAGUGGCUUACCAAGGCUUUGACGGGUAGCCGGCCUGAGAGGGUGACCGGCACAAUGGGAAUGAGAGACGGACCAGAGCCCUACGGGGGGCAAGAGGGGGGAAUAUUGGCCAAAGGGGCGAAGGCUGAUGCCAACAACCCGGGGGCGGGAAGAACGGCCUUGGGGUGGAAACCGCUUUUGGCCGGGACCAAGCGGUAGGGAAGGUAAUGGGUAAAGAAGCACCGGCUAACUACGUG